rnacentral:rRNA from 1 species
AUUGAACGCUGGCGGAAUGCUUUACACAUGCAAGUCGAGCGGCAGCACGGGUGCAACCCUGGUGGCGAGCGGCGAACGGGUGAGUAAUACAUCGGAACAUGCCCAGUCGUGGGGGAUAACACUUCGAAAGAAGUGCUAAUACCGCAUACGUCCUGAGGGGGAAAGCGGGGGAUCGCAAGACCUCGCGCGAUUGGAGUGGCCGAUGUCAGAUUAGCUAGUUGGUGGGGUAAAGGCCUACCAAGGCAACGAUCUGUAGCUGGUCUGAGAGGAUGAUCAGCCACACUGGGACUGAGACACGGCCCAGACUCCUACGGGAGGCAGCAGUGGGGAAUUUUGGACAAAGGGGGCAACCCUGAUCCAGCCAUUCCGCGUGAGUGAAGAAGGCCUUCGGGUUGUAAAGCUCUUUCGGCAGGAACGAAACGGUGAGCUCUAACAUAGCUUGCUAAUGACGGUACCUGAAGAAGAAGCACCGGCUAACUACGUG